rnacentral:tRNA from 1 species
CGAAGUAUAGUUUAAUAAAAACAUUUCGUUUACACCGAAAAAAAAUCUGUUAAACCCAGAUUACUCCGA